rnacentral:rRNA from 1 species
GAUGAACGCUAGCGGCAGGCUUAACACAUGCAAGUCGAACGAAGUCUUCGGACUUAGUGGCGGACGGGUGAGUAACACGUGGGAACGUACCUUUUGGUUCGGAACAACUCAGGGAAACUUGAGCUAAUACCGGAUGAGCCCUUAGGGGGAAAGAUUUAUCGCCGAAAGAGCGGCCCGCGUUAGAUUAGCUAGUUGGUGAGGUAAAGGCUCACCAAGGCUACGAUCUAUAGCUGGUCUGAGAGGAUGAUCAGCCACACUGGGACUGAGACACGGCCCAGACUCCUACGGGAGGCAGCAGUGGGGAAUCUUGCGCAAUGGGCGAAAGCCUGACGCAGCCAUGCCGCGUGAAUGAUGAAGGUCUUAGGAUUGUAAAAUUCUUUUACCAGGGACGAUAAUGACGGUACCUGGAGAAAAAGCCCCGGCUAACUUCGUGCCAGCCGCCGCAGUAAUAC